CAGCCGCCGCGGUAAUACGCAGGUGGCGAGCGUUGCCCGGAAUUACUGGGCGUAAAGGGUGCGUAGGCGGCCGGACAAGUCAUAGGUUAAAGCCCGGAGCUCAACUCCGGAAAGGCCUAUGAUACUGUCUGGCUUGAGGGCCGGAGAGGCUGGCGGAAUUCCCGGUGUAGGGGUGAAAUCCGUAGAUAUCGGGAGGAACACCGGUGGGGAAGCCGGCCAGCUGGACGGUUCCUGACGCUGAGGCACGAAAGCGUGGGGAGCAAACCGGAUUAGAUCCCCGGGUAGUCCACGCCGUAAACGAUGGGCGCUAGGUGUGGGGGUGAAAGCCUCUGUGCCGUAGCUAACGCGUUAAGCGCCCCGCCUGGGGAGUACGGCCGCAAGGCUGAAACUUAAAGGAAUUGGCGGG
rnacentral:rRNA from 1 species